CAGCUGGGUGGGGUGAUCCUCAGUAGGGGAUAAAAAGGGAGAACACCAUCUUUUGUACUGAGUGUGUUACUUGCAAAUUACACAUCAGUAGAACACACCUGACUCUCCUCCAUCAGUCAAACAAGGAGAAUGAUCUAAUGCCACCCUUCAAAAAGAGAGCUGGCCCAAGCAAGCACAGGUUACACCUGAAGCAUGCGGACUUGCAGCGAGUGGUGAACUUCAACAACAACUACACACAAGAUAAUGCAAUAGUAUUACCAGGACGCCACCCAGGACACAAACAUUUUGGUGGAAAGCUGCUUCCAUCCCAUGUGACAAAAGCAGCAGUAUGGCGUCUCUACAAGGAACAGAUGACAACACUUGAGGUACGUGUGCUGUGGUACUGUGCUGGUGGAAAGCUAUGGCUGGCAACAACACCUGACUGCAUACUUCAGGCCGCUGCCACAGAUCAGGCAGUACCAGCACUUCAGAUUAAUAUAAUUUUAUUGUAUUCUUCGACACUCUGGAGCCUGGUGUUGUUGUCACCAAGGAGUGUUCGGACUCAGUCUGAACCAGGUUUCAGCUGCUGCGCAACGCUGACAUCCUUCCUCCCAUAGCUGUACAAGCACCACCGGGACUGGACACAGCUAGACAAACCUAUCUUUUUGAGAAGAUCAGGGAGUUUUGCGAUGAAGAGGCUAUGGACAUUACAUGCCCUGCACCAAAGUCAAGGGCAGGACAGAAACAGGCUCUCCGAAUAUAGAUUCCCUUAUAAACUUGUAAACUCACUUUUGAGAAAGGGCCUUUGAAUGUUUUGGUACCUAAUGGCGAGCUCUCCUUUGUCUACACCCAUUCAGCAUUGUUCACACCCUCUUAAGCCAGCCCCACCCAUCUCUUUAAGGACUCACAUGUGUGGUCAUGGGAUAAACAGUGGGAAGUGUAGUAAAGAUUAAGACUAAAAGUGAUAGUAGUCUACAAUAAGGAAAACAGAAAGUGCCCAGAUAAAAAUAUUUCAUAAAUAUUAGAUGUCGCUUACCCAGACACACUUGUCUAAAUUGAUGGGUCAUGUGAA